AGAGUGAACGCUGGCGGCGUGCUUAACACAUGCAAGUCGAACGAGAACGGGUCAUAGCUUGCUAUGAUUGUCAGCUAAGUGGCGCACGGGUGAGUAAUAUAUAGUUAAUCUGCCCUAGAGAGAGGGAUAACAGUUGGAAACGGCUGCUAAUACCUUAUAUGCCUUUAAGACAUAAGUCUGCAAGGGAAACAUUUAUGGCUCUAGGAUGAGACUGUACGGUAUCAGCUUGUUGGUGAGGUAAUGGCUCACCAAGGCAAUGACACCUAACUGGUUUGAGAGGAUGAUCAGUCACACUGGAACUGAGACACGGUCCAGACUCCUACGGGAGGCAGCAGUGGGGAAUAUUGCACAAUGGACGAAAGUCUGAUGCAGCAACGCCGCGUGGAGGAUGACACAUUUCGGUGCGUAAACUCCUUUUAUAUAGGAAGAUAAUGACGGUACUAUAUGAAUAAGCGCCGGCUAACUCCGUGCCAGCAGCCGCGGUAAUACGGAGGGCGCAAGCGUUACUCGGAAUCACUGGGCGUAAAGAGCAUGUAGGCGGGUUAAUAAGUCAGAAGUGAAAUCCUAUAGCUCAACUAUAGAACUGCUUUUGAAACUGUUAACCUAGAAUAUGGGAGAGGUAGAUGGAAUUUCUGGUGUAGGGGUAAAAUCCGUAGAGAUCAGAAGGAAUACCGAUUGCGAAGGCGAUCUACUGGAACAUUAUUGACGCUGAGAUGCGAAAGCGUGGGGAGCAAACAGGAUUAGAUACCCUGGUAGUCCACGCCCUAAACGAUGCACACUAGUUGUUGCCAUGCUAGACAUGGCAGUAAUGCAGUUAACACAUUAAGUGUGCCGCCUGGGGAGUACGGUCGCAAGAUUA
rnacentral:rRNA from 1 species